GUCCUGACCAGAGUCUGAAGGAAACAGAGGUCUAGGAGUGGUUUAGUCUUGCCCCUCCUUGCUCUGGAGAAAGGGCUGUAGACUCCUGCAGUGAAUGGACAGCAUUAUAAUGAGGAAAAUACAGGCUAGCGCGGAGUCCAGGCUGCCAUUCUGUCCUGAUGCCCUGAACUGGACCCUGGCUGCCGACAAAAAGUAAGACUCACCGAUACCACAGUGAAGGCCGUGUUGACGAUACCCGAGCCGAUGGUGGCGUACACAGGUUGCUGCACACCUGCCUUCUCGAAGAUGCUCGUUGAGUAGUAGAACACCUGCCAGAAAGGGAGAUCAUUGGAGAUCCUCCAUGCUUAUGGUCUCCUUCCUCAAUACUAGUUACUAGUAGGUGUGGGAUCCAAGGUAAGAGUGUGUGUGUGU
rnacentral:lncRNA from 1 species